CGGGCGGGGAAAGAGGCGGGUCCGGCGGCGCCUUCUUCAAUCCGAGGCCACAGCGCCCCCGUCUGCGCGCAGCGCCUCGAAACAGCGCGGCUGGCGGAUCUGGCCCCGCUGUACCAACCCACGCCGCCGACCCUGAGCUCCCUGGCCCCUGCUACGGGUCCUCCUAUUUCUCACCCCUCCCACCUCCUUUCCAUACUCUCUCAGCUUCUCUUCCUGCCCUUACUUCUCCAGUUCCCCCAAUUCUGUACCCUCCCCUCAUCCUUAUUCUGUUCCCCCAUCUCUCCUGGUUCUUUCUCCUCCCUCUGCUCCUUCUCCCUUCUCCAGUCACCCCCUAUUCUUUUUCUUCUCCAUAACCUCCUUCUUGCCCUGAUCUCCCUGCUUCUUCCUCUCCCUGUUCCCGCAGCUGCCCUUGCUCCUCCCCCUCAGUGUCUUGGUUUGGAAGGGUAGGGUGCUGUAGACCCUGACUGCAGCAGUCCCCCAGGAGGAGAGAGAAAUGACAUCCUGGCAGCUUGUCGUCUUGAUGAGCAGGGCUUAAGUCUGAUUACAGACAGUUGUAUGAUUUUCUUUUAAAAUCGUUGGUUCUCAUUUGGGUGCAGGAUACCUCCCCCCUCUCUUUGGCAGGCUUGACUCACGGUCCAGCAAAUUUCCUUACAGUCUUUAGUUAAGUGCAAUUUUGGCUGCAUUAGUAUUUUCUGAAAAACAAAUAGCCUGUUUAUCUUUGGCUCUCCUUUCUCUGCCCUUUCUGUACCUGACCAGGGCACUGACGUUCCUGAUUUGCUUCUGGUGUAAGAAGAACCUUAUGCUGUUAACGUUAAUAUUAUUUUGCCGGUAGUAAAGACAAGAGCUAGUAAAUAUUGAGCCUUGUUAUGUACCAGAUAUUAUUGUAACCACUCUGCCAAACGAAUUCCUUCCAUUUUACAGUCAGGACAACCUGAGGUACAGGGACACUGAAUGACACAUUUGAGUUCCACAGAGGAAAUGAUGGAGCCAGGAUCCUAACUAGCAUCCUAUAUGCAGACCGUACACAGUACAGCAAGAUGGUGUGGAAUACAGAAGUGGGUUUGUCAAGAGGACCGAGAUAUGGAACCCUUAAGAGUCCUGGGAAUCAAAAGUCUCCUACACAGAAUCUGAAGAACAAGAACAGGGUGUCUUGGAAAUAGAUUAGGAGCCUGGAACACUGUCUCCUGCAGCAGUAUGGACCAGGGCAGCAAAAAGAACGGAAACUCCCAGACGCUUGCCACACCGGUGUGGGAACAGUAGCCCAGGCGGAAACUGCCACCCUCUGUGGGAGUCCCGGCUUUACCUUUCCUCAUCACUGGAGGCUCCAGGAGCAAAGAGCUGCUGACCUUGAGAUGGAGAAGACUAGGAGCCUGACGAGUGCAGUGCUUUACAAAAAAACAAAGCCACGAACGAACCCACGUGUGGUGGGGCUUGGUAAUUGCAGCUCUGUCUGGUCCAAGAGUCAGGAAUGGAUCAGAAGGUAGUGGAUACAAUUGGAAACACAUCUUAAACUUGAAGGAGUCAAAGAGUUAGUAGCUAAAAAGUUGGGGAAAGGAGUCAGUGCUACAGAGCUGUGUCAAGCCAGUAACUCCAACGAGAAUACUACGCUUUCGUACAAUUUCGUUGACGCUUACGGUACUUGUUAGCAUCUAAAAUAUGUAACUUACUUUGAUGUGUUUCUUACUCUAAAUACUUAAUGUUGUGUCUGAUUUAUUGUUCUUAAUAGCCCUGGUUGGCCUUGAACUCACAGAGAUCCACCUGCCUCUGCCUCCUGAGUGCUGAUACUAAAGGCGUGCAUCACCAUGUCCAGCCCAGAAUUUUAGUUCUUAAGUUCUGAUCUCAACAGGACCCUCUUGCCCAACUCUGAACAUCCCUCCUGGCUGCAAAGGCCCCUUUGGGACAUCUUUAUAAAACUGAACUGCACAUGUACAGCCACGCCUCAUGGCUAAUUAGGGUUCUCGGACCUGCUAGUACCUAGGCUGGUGGUUGUUAUCAGUGAAGAGACAGUAUCAGUGUUUCCUCAGAUCCUAGGACUUAACCAUUACCAGACCUUAGUCUCCUUUUCCAUUGAGAUGCUGAGGGAAAAAAUGAGAAGAAACAGUCAACACUUUUUGCAAGAGAAGAUGGAAAAAUCAUAAAAAUGACCCCACGCUGCCAUCAGGGUAUCCAGUAGGGUCGCGUGCAGUCACAACCGCCAGUGUCCUGGGGAAGGAUUCCAACACAGGGCCUGAUUUGUGAGCACCGGCUCCUUACCUCCAACAUCCUAUUUUCACUCACCAUCCCUUUGUUGAUAAUUAGAAUUAAUAAAUUAAGAACUCUCACUAGAACCAUAAAAUUCAAAGUGUAAAAAUCAGUGGUUAAUGUUGAUUGGCUGGAAGCAUUUCUGAAAAGAAAAUAUCUGUAUCAUUUUUUUGCUACAGGAGCAUACAAAUGCCUGUACCCACACUAACAAAUUCACACACACACACACACACAGAGAGAGAAAAUGAGUGAGCAAAGAAGAGUGAAUCUUACCAACAUGUUCAGAAGUGAAAAAAGCCAGGCAGAGAAAAGUAUGAGCUAUCUGACUGGGGUAUGUGAAGUUCAGAAAUGAGAGAAACCUAGCAAUGCUGGAUGUUAGCAUGGUUGAGAAACAUUGUCACAUCCAGGCUGGAGGUGGUCAGGAGGUUCUAAUCUGAAUGAUGACUUCACCACUAGUCUUCAUAGUCGCUCAUGCGUUUGUUUUAUUUACUUCUGUAAGCCACAUUAUAUUUCAAAAUUGUAAUGGUUAGAAAUGUUCAAACAUGUAACUUAUACUAAAUAGGACUUUGUGGAUAGCUGUUGGCUUUAGACUGGUGCAAAAUGACUCACACAUUGUACAUUCCAUGGA